GAUGAACGCUAGCGGCAGGCCUAAUACAUGCAAGUCAAGGGGCCAGUAAUGGCACCCGGCGGACGGGUGCGUAACGCGUACACAACGUACCUUUGGGUGGGGAUAGCAUCGGGAAACUGGUGGUAAUACCCCACUGGUAUUGGAGACUGGCAUCAGUUUUCAAUUAAAGACUACGCCCAAAGAUCGGUGUGCGUCUGAUUAGCUAGUUGGUAGGGUAACGGCCUACCAAGGCGACGAUCAGUAGGGGAGUGUGAGAGCAUGAUCCCCCACACGGGUACUGAGACACGGACCCGACUCCUACGGGAGGCAGCAGUGAGGAAUAC
rnacentral:rRNA from 1 species